GAUGAACGCUGGCGGCGUGCCUAAUACAUGCAAGUCGAGCGAAUGGAUUAAGAGCUUGCUCUUAUGAAGUUAGCGGCGAACGGGUGAGUAACACGUGGGUAACCUGCCCAUAAGGCUGGGAUAACUCCGGGAAACCGGGGCUAAUACCGGAUAACAUUUUGAACCGCAUGGUUCGAAAUUGAAAGGCGGCUUCGGCUGUCACUUAUGGAUGGACCCGGGUCGCAUUAGCUAGUUGGUGAGGUAACGGCUCACCAAGGCAACGAUGCGUAGCCGACCUGAGAGGAUGCGCGGCCACACUGGGACUGAGACACGGCCCAGACUCCUACGGGAGGCAGCAGUAUGGAAUCUUCCGCAAUGGACGAAAGUCUGACAGAGCAACGCCGCGUGAGUGAUGAAGGCUUUCGGGUCGUAAAACUCUGUUGUUAGGGAAGAACAAGUGCUAGUUGAAUAAGCUGGCACCUUGACGGUACCUAACCAGAAAGCCACGGCUAACUACGUGCCAGCCGCCGCGGUAA
rnacentral:rRNA from 1 species